AGAGUUUGAUCAUGGCUCAGAACGAACGCUGGCGGCAUGCCUAACACAUGCAAGUCGAACGAUCCCUUCGGGGAUAGUGGCGCACGGGUGCGUAACGCGUGGGAACCUGCCCUUAGGUUCGGAAUAACUCAGAGAAAUUUGAGCUAAUACCGGAUAAUGUCUUCGGACCAAAGAUUUAUCGCCUUUGGAUGGGCCCGCGUUGGAUUAGCUAGUUGGUGGGGUAAAGGCCUACCAAGGCGACGAUCCAUAGCUGGUCUUAGAGGAUGAUCAGCCACACUGGGACUGAGACACGGCCCAGACUCCUACGGGAGGCAGCAGUGGGGAAUAUUGGACAAUGGGCGAAAGCCUGAUCCAGCAAUGCCGCGUGAGUGAUGAAGGCCCUAGGGCUGUAAAGCUCUUUUACCCGGGAUGAUAAUGACAGUACCGGGAGAAUAAGCUCCGGCUAACUCCGUGCCAGCAGCCGCGGUAAUACGGAGGGAGCUAGCGUUGUUCGGAUAUACUGGGCGUAAAGCGCACGUAGGCGGCGCCGUAAGUCAGGGGUGAAAUCCCGGAGCUCAACUCCGGAACUGCCCUUGAAACUGCAGUGCUAGAAUCCUGGAGAGGCGAGUGGAAUUCCGAGUGUAGAGGUGAAAUUCGUAGAUAUUCGGAAGAACACCAGUGGCGAAGGCGACUCGCUGGACAGGUAUUGACGCUGAGGUGC
rnacentral:rRNA from 1 species